rnacentral:lncRNA from 1 species
CAACAUCUACGUUUGAAUUUGGGAUUGCUGAUAGCUUGUAUAUAAUGUUAAGGCUAGAAUAUGUCACGACCCAUUACAUCAUUCUUACCAGUGCCAUUAUACGUGUUAUUUUACACCGUUUCCAGGCAUAUGACAUGAUAUGGUCUAGUCCACGCCACGUAGAAGACGCUGUCGAAGUUCUCGGCAAAAUGAAUGACAUUUUUCGAGGCAAUUCCUUUGAAGGAAUAAAAGAAAAUAGCCUAAGGGGCACCAACCUAUAGAGACACUUUAGAAUAUGAGCUCAAUAGCAGAUGUAAACGAAUCUCAGCCCAAGAGAGGGCGCCUUGGUGAAAGAGGCUGGAGCCCGAAGAGGUCCACCUCAGAAAUAAAAAUCAGCCUUAAGGGUAAAACGACACCAAGAACUGGAUCCCAUAAGGAUCAUCUCUGUGAAAAGGUACGAGAUGCCUAUAAAAAAAAGGGGAACUGCAGCAAGGGUACGACCCUUGAUGAGUGAUUUACACUCAUUAUAUUAUGCCAUUAAUUUUAUUAUUUUGCUAUCUUGGAGAGUAUUUUAGAAUUGCUAACAAGUGAUUUCGGUGUUGUUCUGUAGAUUGAUGGAAGUGGAGAAAACAAGAGUUAAAAGAGGCCAAAGGAAGGAAAUAGGCAAAAGUUAGCGAAAUUGGAUGAAAUGACCAAAAUGUAAAAGAUCCCAAGUUCGAGGAUUAAAAUGCAAUUAAUCAAAAGUCGUGUCGAAACUCGCGAUGAAGAUCCGAGAGUGCUAGGAGUCAAUUGAAUAAAGGAAGGUGUCAAAGGGAUCAAAUUUAGUCAAAAUAUGAUCACAAAUCAUUUCCAACCGAAAAGUUAUGCGCCGAAGUUUUGGUCUCACAUUGAGACUCAUUUUUGACAUAGAAAACGAUCGAAUUGGAGAAUGAUGCCUGAAGCAAAGUUGUAGCCCUUUGAAUUAGCUUUCCAACGCAUCUUGAAUCAUUUCAAUCGGAUAUUAAACGAGAAAGUUAUGCUAAAAAUACUGAAAGACGCACAGAAUGUCGUUUCGGGCGUACCGAGUGCCACGGCGCCCAUCGGGAGCGUUGGGGCGCCCAUCUUGCUGAAAACAAGCAGAAAGUCAGUGCCCAGGCGCUGCAUUUCGAAACAGAAGAAAAUUCUGAUUUUAUAAUUUUUUCUCGGCCCAAUUAGUAACCUGUUGUUCCCUAAAUUUCAAGACACUAUAAAUACACAAUUGAAGACCUAAAUUAAGAGAGAGAAGCACACUAAAAAUCUGUGAGAUCAAGCCACGCACGGGAUUUGGAGACGGCAAAACAGGGAGUCAGCUGCCCAAAAAUUAUGGGAAUUAGAGAGAAUCUGGAGAGGAAGAGCCGACAAUUUCAAGAGGAUUGAAAGGAGUUCAGCCAACUAAACGCAACAGGAAGGCAGAACUCAAAAUUUUGGUAGGUUUACUUCUUCAAUUAAUCAAUUUGGUGGACGGCUGGACAAUCUUGAAAGAGUCAAAGGGCAGAAACUAAUUGAGAGGCGUGGAAAACAAGGGAAGAAUCAAUUUACUCGUUUAAUUUAUUUUCUUUCUUCUUCAUGUUUUACACUAUAAUUUGUAUGAAUUUAACGUCUUUAAUUAUGCACUGAACAAAUUACCUAGGG